GGAGUAGUGAAUAAAUCGUUCAGACUGGUUUUGUGAACCCAAACCGAAAAGAUCCGACUCAAAAGAACCAUGCAUUAUGCACCAUGUGUUGGAGACUCAGAGUGAAUACAAAAUGAUUCGUGUAUAAGAAUGAAAAUUUAGGAAAUACCAUAAUUACAUGUGAGGAUAACGGAGACGAGACGAUGUCCGCUCUUCAACUAACGGAUGAGAUCUGGAUCCACAUUUUUGGAUUUUUCUCUGUUCGUGACAAAUUGAGUGUUCGUUUAACUUGCACGUACUUUAAAAGAUUAAUCGACCAUUGGAGCUUAUGGAAAGGCAGCGUUGUUGUCCUCCAAAAGUUCGAACUCUACGACACACAUUUUUGGAAAACUCUGCGCCAAAGAAAAACCAAGUCCAUUGUUGUUCAAAAGGCAAAUGCAAAAGGAUUGCGACACAUUGUGACUGCGCUUCCGUGGAUCAGUUCCGUGACUCUGGCUCAGUGCAGUGAUGGCAAAGCUCUGGCAGAGUUGGGUGCUUUAAAACAACUCGAGAAGCUUGUCAUCCGUCAAUGUUGCUGUCGGAGUCUGACCAGCUCACUUUUAUCUUUGAGACAACUGACUCAUCUCUGCUUAUGUGAGGUCCAGAAAGCUUCAGUAUCGGAGAUAAGUGCUGCUACUUCGCAACUUGUCAAGCUUACCUCACUACACUACCAUGAAGAUAAAAAUCCUAUCUUUAAACCUGUCCUUCAUGGCAUGUUGAAGCGUCUGCCCAAAUUGAAACACCUUUCCUUGAGAUUGGGACCAAAGUAUGGGAUUCUUCCUGAUGAUUAUUUUUGCCCAAUUAAAGCAUGUGGGCGUCCUGGAGUUAGUCCGGAUUCAGAGUUCGGAUUGAGCAGUCUGGAGCUGCUGAACUGCUAUGACCCCUGCCUCUCCCUGUUGCCUUUGACGCCCUGUCCUCCCUUACUAAACUGACGGUGCAUUAUAAACAAUGGUGUGAGGAUCCAACCCGUUGCCGUCUCACAAAAUGGUUGCAAGGGCUUCAUGUACUCUCAGAGCUCAAUAUUUCUUUAGGAUACCCGCUCGGAUUCUAUGCUAAAUCAAUACCCAGGACUGUGCGGCAUUUGUCUCUCAUGGGAGUGAGGGCAGAUUUGAAGGCAGUAAGGAUCAUGGCAGAGCAGGUGCCAGAUCUCCUUCACCUCCACUUGGACUUGUGUUGUCAUGACAUCUGCAAUAUAAUCAAAGAAAUUCCUCAGAUGUUCCCAAAGCUGCAGGUCCUAAAAGUGAGACACCAAAAUGUUCCAGCAUCAUUGUUUCUUGAGCUUCACCAUCUGCCUGGACUUCAGCAGUUAGUGAUUUUGGAUGCACCCCAAGGCAGUCCUACGGUACAAGAUCUGAAACGAAAACUUGAUGACCAAACAAACAAUAAAAUCCAUGUGCUUCAUUCCAAUUCAAGGGACCAAACAACUUGUUCUUGUGGUUUUAAUUGAUACACUUCAUUGUUUCUUAUGUGCAACUUGAUGAUUUCAGACAUAUACAGAUGCUCAUGCCUUUUAUACAGUUUUUGUAAUAUAGAGGAACAUGUAUGUGAAAGAUGGAAAAUGGACUUAAAUUGUAAAUAGUGGAUUAGUGGACAUUUGUUACAUUGUCAAUGAUAUU